UGAACGCUGGCGGCGUGCCUAAUACAUGCAAGUCGAACGAGUUCUGAUUAUUGAAAGGUGCUUGCAUCUUGAUUUAAUUUUGAACGAGUGGCGGACGGGUGAGUAACACGUGGGUAACCUGCCCUUAAGUGGGGGAUAACAUUUGGAAACAGAUGCUAAUACCGCAUAAAUCCAAAAACCGCAUGGUUCUUGGCUGAAAGAUGGCGUAAGCUAUCGCUUUUGGAUGGACCCGCGGCGUAUUAGCUAGUUGGUGAGGUAACGGCUCACCAAGGCAAUGAUACGUAGCCGAACUGAGAGGUUGAUCGGCCACAUUGGGACUGAGACACGGCCCAAACUCCUACGGGAGGCAGCAGUAGGGAAUCUUCCACAAUGGACGCAAGUCUGAUGGAGCAACGCCGCGUGAGUGAAGAAGGCUUUCGGGUCGUAAAACUCUGUUGUUGGAGAAGAAUGGUCGGCAGAGUAACUGUUGUCGGCGUGACGGUAUCCAACCAGAAAGCCACGGCUAACUACGUGCCAGCAGCCGCGGUAAUACGUAGGUGGCAAGCGUUAUCCGGAUUUAUUGGGCGUAAAGCGAGCGCAGGCGGUUUUUUAAGUCUGAUGUGAAAGCCCUCGGCUUAACCGAGGAAGUGCAUCGGAAACUGGGAAACUUGAGUGCAGAAGAGGACAGUGGAACUCCAUGUGUAGCGGUGAAAUGCGUAGAUAUAUGGAAGAACACCAGUGGCGAAGGCGGCUGUCUGGUUUGUAACUGACGCUGAGGCUCGAAAGCAUGGGUAGCGAACAGGAUUAGAUACCCUGGUAGUCCAUGCCGUAAACGAUGAAUGCUAGGUGUCGGAGGGUUUCCGCCCUUCAGUGCCGCAGCUAACGCAUUAAGCAUUCCGCCUGGGGAGUACGACCGCAAGGUUGAAACUCAAAGGAAUUGACGGGGGCCCGCACAAGCGGUGGAGCAUGUGGUUUAAUUCGAAGCAACGCGAAGAACCUUACCAGGUCUUGACAUCUUUUGAUCACCUGAGAGAUCAGGUUUCCCCUUCGGGGGCAAAAUGACAGGUGGUGCAUGGUUGUCGUCAGCUCGUGUCGUGAGAUGUUGGGUUAAGUCCCGCAACGAGCGCAACCCUUAUGACUAGUUGCCAGCAUUUAGUUGGGCACUCUAGUAAGACUGCCGGUGACAAACCGGAGGAAGGUGGGGAUGACGUCAAAUCAUCAUGCCCCUUAUGACCUGGGCUACACACGUGCUACAAUGGAUGGUACAACGAGUUGCGAGACCGCGAGGUCAAGCUAAUCUCUUAAAGCCAUUCUCAGUUCGGACUGUAGGCUGCAACUCGCCUACACGAAGUCGGAAUCGCUAGUAAUCGCGGAUCAGCACGCCGCGGUGAAUACGUUCCCGGGCCUUGUACACACCGCCCGUCACACCAUGAGAGUUUGUAACACCCGAAGCCGGUGGCGUAACCCUUUUAGGGAGCGAGCCGUCUAAGGUGGGACAAAUGAUUAGGGUG
rnacentral:rRNA from 1 species